rnacentral:lncRNA from 1 species
GAAACUGAACUUAAGCAAGCUCUGUGGCUAACUUCUGUGUGCAAGAAAUAUGAGGAAUAGAAGAACAAAUUAGGUGGCAGCCCCAGAAAAAAAACAAAUUCAAAACAUGGCAUGUUCUGUAUGACAACUGACCCAGUUUCUGAAACAAGAAAAAUAUAGCAUGAAGAUAUUUAACUUUAAAACAGAUACUUGGAAGAUAUGAU